CUUAGCUCAUCCACAUGAAUGCAAAAAUCAUGAAGGGUUCGACUGUUCGUCGAUUAAAGAGCUACAUGAGCUGGGUUUAAUACGUCGUGAGACAGUAUGGUUUCUAUCUUCUAGAGGGAAUUAAAGUAGAAUAAAGAUAGCCCCUUCGUACGAAAGGAGUUGGGUAUAUUGACCUAUGGUUUACCUGUUGUUUAUGCUAGUCCUCUUUAGAGGUCUCAUUUACUUAUACUUAAGUAAAUUGUUCACAUAGGCAUGGCAGGAAGGCUACGUCAGUUAAAGAUAAGUGCUGAAAGCAUUUAAGCGCGAAGCUUACUUUAGGAUACUUUUAAACGUUGUAGAACACAACGAGUAAAAUUGUUAUGACCACUCCGGUGGUAAUAAUGAUUAAUAGGCUUUAGUUGUACUAAUUUUAACAUUUUUAGACAUAAAGUACUAAUUAUUAAUAUACUAAAUAUU
rnacentral:ncRNA from 1 species